rnacentral:lncRNA from 1 species
GAAAUUUUGCCAUAUCAAUGGUAAAUCCAAACGUGUGGCUGUACGUACAACAUGCUGUCUUAUCUGGUGUCUACACAUAAAUUGUGGUAGUCACACACUCUAUUUCUCUUCAUCUUCCCAAAUCUCCGCAGUUUCAUCACAGGGCCAUGGCUUCUUUCACUGUAUUCCGUGUAACCUCAUCUCAGGUAAAUUCAUCUCAUUUCUUGGACAGUUGUGCUCCAGCAAGAAUGGGAUGAACUCACCAUCACAGGAAACGCUCAUAAAAUGCGUUAGAAUCACAAUUUAGCUCAAAAGGAUAAUAGGAUGAGGGUCUCGUGUGCAAGUAUUCCUGCGGACGAUCGCGCGCCUGAUAUGGGAAAAAGGCAGCUCAUGAAUUUGCUCCUUUUGGGUGCUAUUUCACUUCCCAGUGCUGGCAUGUUGCUUCCUUAUGCUUCCUUCUUUGUCCCACCUGGGUAAUUUUCUUUACGCCUUCCUAAUUUUUCUUACCUUUUUUUUUUUUUCAUUUAUUUUGAUAUCGUUUGUGUAUAGUAAUUCUGUUGAAAGUCCAAUGUGAUUCUAUAGCUGGAGUUGAUUAAUUGAUUGAUCUUGUGAAUUAUUAAAGGAUUUGUUGUCAGAUUGUUAAUUCCAUCACUUAAAUGUAAAUUUAAAACUUGAUUCGUAUGCUAACUGCUAUGAACUUCAAUAUGGGAAAUAUGGAGCAUUUGGAAAUUUACAAGAGCUGGAGCAAAAUCCCCCAAGGAAAUUAUUAUUGGUUCAAAUUGAUAAUACUAAUCCGUGAAUUUAGAGAUUGCAAGUGGACUUAUUUUGAUAUAGAAAAUAAUCACAUUUUUGUUAGGAUUUAACACCUUAACAUGUAGUUGUGAUCAUAUUGGGAAGAAACGAAUGAUUUGGUAACAUAUCUAGAAAUCAGAGGGUGUUACCGACAUCUUUGGAGAUAGUAUGAGCCAUGAGGGAGCGUUAUGCUUCUUUUCUAACUCGAAAGUUUAUGAUGUUGGAGACAAAGCACAAAAAUUUGUAUCUCUACCAUGAGAGAGCAAUUCCUUGGCGAUGACAAAUUUUUAUGACUUGUUCAAUUGUAUUCAAGCUUUUGGCCAUUAAGGUGUAAAUUCUACAUCUGUAACUAUUGCUCGUCUUAACACAGAUGGUCAUCUAAGCAUCAUCUGGUUGUGGAACUGUAACAAAGGAUGCAAUAGGAAAUGAUGUUUUUUCUGAUGAAUUGAUCAAAAACCAUGGACCUGGGGAUUGGACCCUUACACAGGGAUUGAAGGUAAUUUUCAAUUAUCUGUAACAUGAUUGAGUUUCUUGACUGCAUUAUUUCUAGUUUUAAAUGUUAAAGGAUAACAAAUCACUGCUCAUUCAAAAUUUGAAUUUUUGUGAACAAC